rnacentral:sRNA from 1 species
CUCUCUCUCUCUCUCUCUCUCUCUCUUAAAGAGAGAGGAGGGGGAAGAGAGAGAGAGAGAGAGAG